UACGUAGGGGGCAAGCGUUGUCCGGAAUCAUUGGGCGUAAAGCGCGUGUAGGCGGCAUUGCAAGUCGGGUGUGAAAGCCCUCGGCUCAACCGAGGAAGUGCGCCCGAAACUGCAGUGCUUGAGUACCGGAGAGGGUGACGGAAUUCCCCAAGUAGAGGUGAAAUUCGUAGAUAUGGGGAGGAACACCGGUGGCGAAGGCGGUCACCUGGACGGAUACUGACGCUGAGACGCGAAAGCGUGGGGAGCAAACAGG
rnacentral:rRNA from 1 species